UAAGACAAUACUUCUGUACUUGUCUUAUUUUAUCAAUGUGUCUUGUGCACCCCAGAGGACAAACAUCCAGAAGCUCUGCUGUUACAGAAAGAAUGAAGAUCUGCCGGGAUAUGUAACCAUCUAUUUGUUUGCUACCCGUUGGUCUCCUUCCAUACAGAGAAUAUUCCCCGAAGAGAAGGAUAGCAAGAUUGCAAUGGAUUUUUCUAAAAAUGCAGCUUCAGUUAAUGCUCAGUUGUAUUUUGGAGCUUGCUAGGAACGGUUGUGCAGUUGCUCGCUCUAGAACGUCAACACUGCUAGCUAGGACCCUCAGUUAGUUGAGUCAGUUGCUUGCAGAGAUAAGACUACGAGUUCUAAUAAUAAUCAAGAUGGAAUCCUUGCUGUUUGUAUGUCUGCUGGUUUGUUUGAUAUUCACAAUUGUCCUCGGAGUCCCGCUUGACCUCGGUAGUGGUGGGGUUUAUGACAGCCCUGAGGCCAACCUCUACUGGGCCUCCAGGUUUCCGGGGCUAGCCUCUGGAUGGGGGUCCCUUAGAGCCCUACAGGAGGGAAUAAACGCUGCUGCUUUGUCAAGACGUCCCUGAAUGUCGUCCUUUUCUAAGACUGGAUUCUUGAAUAACUAUGAUAAAAAGUACAAAAUAUAUUAUGUAUUUUAUUAUCAUAUCUGAUUUUUUUAUGUUAAAUUGUACAUAUUAUAAAUUUAUGAUUAUUUACAUAGCUAUGAAGUGCCAUGCAUUCUCAGUCGCAUACCUACCAACGCUUUGUUUUCAUCUUAAUAAAUUGUAAAAAAUUAA